UCCAGCGGCUGUCCGUUGUCGUGACUGUCGACCACGGCCCUUCUUCUGUGCUGACUGUGAUGUCAGCAUGCACGUCAGACAUGUCCUCCACAACAGGGAUGCAAUGACUGCUGGAUUCAUCCAGCCAUUACCUCCAACAUCUCUUGUUGUGGAUAAGGCCCUUUCCCAUUGUGCUACGUGCUGUUGUGUUACUGUCAAACACAUUCAAUUCAACAUCUUUCGAGUACCUUUUCAGCAACAUACUUCAUGGCCAUGAAGUCUUUCAUUUUCAUUUUCUCAUGUAAAGUUUGUGCUCCAGUCAUUCCAGAAUUCUAUGUCAUAUUACAAUGUCAAUAGAAAUGAUCUUAAUUCACUUGUGUGAUCUUUUACAGUACGGUUUGUACCUGUGGAGACGCCUGACCAGAAUUAUUAAAGGUCAACCCAGGAAAGGAUGUUACUGUGGUCACAAUGAAUGACUGGGAAGAUCUCUGCAGACAGCUUCCAAAAAAGUUUUUUUGAGUGGGAAGCUGUGCAACAUCUGCAAAGAGGAGCCCUUCAUCUGUCCUGCGUGCACCCCAAAUAUGCUUGCAGUUUCCGUGGAUGGAAAUCGCAAGCAUUACCGGUUCAAGAAUGCAUCUAGAUCCGAGGAACAGGCCAUUUUUCAAGGCGUCUUCAUAGCCAAGGAUGAAGACGUUGCCACAUUUGUGGACCACAUACACAGGACAUCCAAACAUGUCUCUGGAAGAGGUGUUUGUGGAGGGGAGUGGUCAGCAGCUAGAGAGACCUCCCAAAGAUCCACCAGCAAGGUAGAUGAGGAGGGACUGGAGCUUGCGGUGUGUAGGCAUGGUGUUCUGCUGCGUGCUCUCAAUAUGUACAGGGGAGAAAUGUUUGCUUAUCCCCUGUAUUUGCAAGAAAAGCUUGCCAGCAGGCAAAUCACUUUCUUCUGUAUGGAUGUGACCUGCAAGUAUUGGCCCUACCUCCA